CUUGACCGACCCCAACCACAGCGGCCGGUCCGCGUCACGGCCCUGGCCGUAGGUGGCGAGCAGCGCCUGCGCCUC
rfam:Actinosynnema mirum DSM 43827, complete genome.